rnacentral:misc_RNA from 1 species
GCUGAUUAUUUGACAACUAAAACUUCCAAAAAAUAUAGAGUAGAAAUUGCAACAUGUAACUACAUUUUGCUAACAAAAUAAAGUAUAUACAUGAUUAUAUGAUCAAGCGCGGCAAUCAUUCCUGACGUGGUAGUAGUAUGAUAGUUAACCAACUUGUUGCAUCCUCUCGUGGCGAUACCAGUAACAUGUCUCUGAAAUGCCAUCAUUGGAACUUGAUAAAACCCCCAAAUAUCUACAAGUAAUGAACCUCACCACUGAUACUUAGCAGCAAUGAGAACUUCUUCAUAGUUCUGAGCAGCAUUAUCCCAACUUAAGUCUUGUGUCAUACAACGCGCCUGAAUCCCCUCCCAACUCUUUUUGUACUCACGAUAAGUCAGCAAGCAAUUUCCUAAUGCGUGGAUCAGCUGGUUAGCUUCAGCCCUACUGAAGGUCCACCCCAGUCCUGACUCAUUAAAAGGAUCAAAGGGCUGCACAGUAUCUCUGAG